rnacentral:rRNA from 1 species
GACAGAGGGUGCAAACGUUGCUCGGAAUCACUGGGCGUAAAGGGCGUGUAGGCGGGAAGGCAAGUCAGAUGUGAAAUCCCUGGGCUCAACCCAGGAACUGCAUUUGAAACUCCCUUUCUUGAGUACCGGAGAGGAAGGUGGAAUUCCUGGUGUAGAGGUGGAAUUCGUAGAUAUCAGGAGGAACACCGGUGGCGAAGGCGGCCUUCUGGACGGUAACUGACGCUGAGACGCGAAAGCGUGGGGAGCAAACAGG